GACGAACGCUGGCGGCGUGCCUAAUACAUGCAAGUCGAGCGCAGGAAGCCGUCUGAACCCUUCGGGGGGACGACAGUGGAAUGAGCGGCGGACGGGUGAGUAACACGUAAAGAACCUGCCCAUAGGUCUGGGAUAACCACGAGAAAUCGGGGCUAAUACCGGAUGUGUCAUCGGACCGCAUGGUCCGCUGAUGAAAGGCGCUCCGGCGUCGCCCAUGGAUGGCUUUGCGGUGCAUUAGCUAGUUGGUGGGGUAACGGCCCACCAAGGCGACGCUGCAUAGCCGACCUGAGAGGGUGAUCGGCCACACUGGGACUGAGACACGGCCCAGACUCCUACGGGAGGCAGCAGUAGGGAAUCUUCCACAAUGGACGAAAGUCUGAUGGAGCAACGCCGCGUGAACGAUGAAGGCUUUCGGGUCGUAAAGUUCUGUUGUAAGGGAAGAACAAGUGCCGCAGGCAAUGGCGGCACCUUGACGGUACCUUGCGAGAAAGCCACGGCUAACUACGUGCCAGCAGCCGCCGUAA
rnacentral:rRNA from 1 species